UAGUAUAAUCACGAGCGGUUGUAUAUGGCCCUAUCGUCUAGUGAUGCCCCUAUCGUCUAGUGGUUCAGGACAUCUCUCUUUCAAGGAGGCAGCGGGGAUUCGACUUCCCCUGGGGGUAGGGAGUAUUAUGAAAGGAGGUUAAUCAUAGAUUAGCAAAAACCCUAGAAUAAAUUCUUCCUGGGUCGAUGCCCGAGUGGUUAAUGGGGACGGACUGUAAAUUCGUUGACAAUGUCUACGCUGGUUCAAAUCCAGCUCGGCCCAAAAAUCUAGGGCUUCGUGAAUAUGAACUAAAUCCUUUUGUUUUUCUCCCAUAAAAUAAAAUGUCUGAUCUAUAGAAAUAAAAGAGAAAUAAAAAAGGGGAUUUUUUUUUCUAAUCCAUAUCUCUCUCAUUCCUUUCUUACAAACAAAAGAGUUUUUCUUGUUGAAGGGUGGAUUAUUAUCCAUUUUUAGUGAUAAAAAAUCACGACAUACUAGUUAUGUCACUCUCACUAUACCCACGUAUAAUAUAAUAUUAAUAUGUGGGUAUGUAGUAUAUGAUUCGUCUAUUUCUUAGAGUACGACAGACGAAUCGAAUCUUCUUAUGGUUCUAUUUAAGAAUGGGUAUGCCAUACACCCCGCGGGGAUUGUAGUUCAAUUGGUCAGAGCACCGCCCUGUCAAGGCGGAAGCUGCGGGUUCGAGCCCCGUCAGUCCCGAACUAGGGUUCAAUGAAUGGAGAAAUUCAUAUUUCCUUUUUCCAUGAAAAAAAAGGGGCAGGGAGCAAGAUCAAAUACCCAUAGGGCACCCUUACUUCACUUUUUUAUUUUGCAUCUCUCAUUAAAGAGGGAGGGAAGGAGUAUAGGAAUUUUUUUCACUACUCCCGAUCGAUAAAGAUAAAGAAAGACACACAUACGAUAUGUGGAUUAGUAGAAUUUUAGGAUAUUACUCUAUCUUUCUUUAUGAUGAUACCAUCCUCAUCUUAAUUUCCUAUUCCACUGUUAUGGAAUAGAGUACCGGUAUUUUACCGGAAUCCAUACAUAAAUUGUAUUCCCUUUUUAUUUCAGACCUCUUUUCCCCAUCUCACUUCUACUGCUUAUUUGGAUGUCUAUGUGACCCAUAGAAAGUUGCUCAUAUAAUACAUACAUAAUUGUAUGUAUAACUAUAAGAAAAAGGAAGAGAAAUUGUAUAAGAUUAAGAAAGCUCGUGGGUUAGAGAUAUAGAAAAGAAAAAGUAGAAAAAAAAGGAUUAAAAAAGAGGGAAUUCCUAAUCCAAUCAAAAAACCCAUUUUGGUCUUAGUAUGGAUAUAGGAUCUUCCUAUGUUAUACUAUAUAACUCUCAUCCAUGAAUUGAUUUGAUAGAUCCGAUAUUCAUAAUAUUGAAUUGAUUCAGUAUUAUCAGAAUGCAAGCCCUACCCUUGAAUUUACAAGAUACCCCUUUUUCCUCUCCAUGGGAUUACAUCCCGAGUUAUUGUGAAAAUAAAAAAUAAAGAGGUUAUGGAAGUCAAUAUUCUCGCAUUUAUUGCUACUGCACUGUUCAUUCUAAUUCCUACUUCUUUUUUACUUAUUAUUUAUGUAAAAACAGUCAGCCAAAAUAAUUAAGUGGAAUUCCAAUUAAUCAUUGAAGAAAUGAAAAAGGGAUUAAAUAAAAAAAAUCCAAGUCUUAAAUGAAAGGAUCUGGUUGGAAUCUUAAAGUGUGGUAGAAAGAACUACAUAUAGUUUUUUCUACGACACUUUAGAGUCUUUCUAUUAUAUUAUCUUUGAAUCUACAUAGAAUAGAUUAGUAGAUUGAAAUAGUUAAGUAGUCUAAUUCAAUUUCUUUUUUCAUUGCAUCCACUUAAUUUCAAUCAGGUCAAAAUAAAAAAAUCGAAGACAAUUCUUGACCAAAGAAUCCAUGGAAGGAAAGAAAAAUAAUAUAAGAAUAGACUAUAGUAAAAAGUAAAAGGAAAAAACCAGCGAAUCUUUCAUGCUUAAAUAUCCCGCGAGAUGCUUCAAAAGAGAAUAAAAAUUAUUCUAAGAAUAAAGAAAGAGUAUAAAACAAAUGGAAAAUGUGUGAUAUGCCGUGAAUAGUUCCGUGGAAGAAAGUCUAAUUUUCUUAUGUAUAGAACUUUUUUUAACCAUUAGUCAUUUCUAGUAGAAAUUCUUAAUUGGUAUAAUGGCUCUUUCUUACAAUACAAGAGUUUCUUACAGGAGUGAAACAAAACUAAAGAAAAAGAUUAAAGAAUAACGUUUGACAAAAUAAUUAAUGCAAAACGAUCAAUUAAAAAAAGAAUUGAUACAACAAUUUGAUUACUUAAUCAAUUAGUAGUAUCGUAUCCCUAGAGUCCACUCCUUCCCCAUACUACUAGUGAAAGAGAAAAUGUAAAGACUACCAUUAAAGCAGCCCAAGCGAGACUUACUAUAUCCAUCUAAAUUAUGUCUCCUAUUUCUAUGAAGGGAUUAUUCUACUAUUGAUCAAUAAUCAUAGUGGAAUCAAGGGUACAGAGUCAAAAAGGGCUUCUGCCCUAAGGCCAUGGAUCAAUCAGUUCAAGGAAUUUACUCCUAACAAAUUCUUAUAGGAAUUCUUGUAGAAUUAGAGAGCAUUAAAAAUACGAUACUAUAAAGCCCUUUUUUCCUUACCUUAAAAAAGAAAGAGUACGGGAAUGAUGUCCUGAAUAGAAGAAGCGGGAAUAGGAAGAUUUUUUAUUCCUUUUGUUACUCUAGUGUAUGUAGGUCACAUAAGAUGUACGAUAAAAAAAUGUAUGAUAAUUAGGAAGUCUUGAUAUUCUUUCGUGGAGUCCCUUCUGGAAUCUUAGAUUGAAAAAGAGAAGAAUGCCCCUUAGGGACCUUUCUUUGGAUACCAAGAUUUCUGACAUCUUAUCCUCGUAUUUAAAAAUUCUCAAAUCGAAUCAAUUAAGAACCAAUUCAAAUUCAUAUAAUAAAAGAAUAAGGAAACACUACCUCACCCCUAUUGAUAACCAUUUUGGCCACUACCGCCAAAACAAACCCUAACCCUAGUUUAAGGAUAGAACUAUGGUAUGGUUUCUCUAAACCCAGUAUCGGCAGGCUUAGUUACUCUCUUGCCCGAACUUAUGCGAAGUAAAAAUUGAUUGAAUUCGAUCAGUACUAGAAAACCUAAGUAUUUUAUUGAUCAGGCGGCACCCAGAUUUGAACUGGGGAUAAAGGAUUUGCAGUCCCCUGCCUUACCGCUUGGCCAUGCCGCCAAAAAAUCCGAUCGAAAAUCUAGAAAACAGCAAGUAUUCAUCCACGUUUUCUUACGAAAAGCCCCUUUCUUUUAUUUUGAAUAUAAUUAAACUUACUUUUUUCCAAUCUUUUUCAAAAAAGAUACUCCUGCUUUUUUUGAUCCAGUUUCGAUUAUUCUCCUCGAUAGAUUCUAUCUUAAAACAUACAUUGCUAACACAAUAAAACUUCCCAUUUCUUUCUAUUGAGAUGAAAAAGAAGAAAAGUGGAUUUCUAGUCACAGGCUGCAAAAUUCAGAACAAAUUGGAACCAUUAACUAGAAUUCUCUUUCUUUUUUGAAUUGCAGUAGUGAACUACUCUUAAAUCGGUAUUAUCUCCCCCCCUUCAAUUUCAAUGGCAUAAUAAAAUAUUAUGGCUUUAUGCUUAAUCCGUGUAUAGGUGAACUUUAGGUCCGAGCAGCAUUAUUAUCCAAAGAUCCCCUUUAUGUACAUAUCUCUAUGGGGAAUCGUGCUUUAAUUUUUCAAAGUAUUAAAUUAAAUAUCUUGAAUAAAAAAAGGAAAUUUGCUCUGAUAUUAGAGUAUAACCUGACUAUCUUGGCCUACCCAAGUGAAAUUACGAUAAAAGAAAAGCAUGGAUAUGGGGAGAGGUGGAUAAUUAGAUUGGCAUGUACUUAAAAAAGGGACUUACUUUAUUUUAGAAUUCCACAAUGAAAUACUUAAUUUUCUAGCAAUUAUACUACUCCGAUCCGAAAUAAAAAAGAACCCUCAAAUUAUUUUUAGAAAUUAAAGUAAGCACGCUAUUCUAAAUCGAAGUAAAGUAAAACUUUCUAGUGUAUUAUAUUACGGCUUUAUUACAUUCAUAGAAAGGGGAUAAAAUGAGAAAUCUUUGCCAUUCAAUCUGAUUAGAAUAUUAUAAAGUAUAAGUGGCAUAAUUUUUUUUGUAGGAAUAUUUUAGCAAUUCAUUUUCAUUUCAUUUGUACCCCUGGUAAACUAGAAUUUUCGUCGAAAUGGUCUCUAUUCAUAUGUAUGAAAUACAUAUAUGAAAUACGUAUGUGGAGUUCCCUAGAAUUUCAUGUGAUUCAGUAAACAGAAUAUAGAUUCCAUGAUUGCUAGAUCAAUCCGUAGGGAUUGAUGAAGAGUGAGCUGAUAAUGGAAUUUUUCUUUGAUAAACAGGAAACUUAAGAUUAAGAUGCUCCGGAAUGGAAACGAGGGAAUGUCCACAAUACCCGGAUUUAGUCAGAUCCAAUUCGAGGGAUUUUUUAGGUUCAUUAAUCAAGCCUUGGCAGAAGAACUUGACAAGUUUCCAACAAUUAAAGAUCCAGAUCACGAAAUUGCAUUUCAAUUAUUUGCGAAAGGAUAUCAAUUGCUAGAACCCUCGAUAAAAGAAAGAGAUGCUGUGUAUGAAUCACUCACCUAUUCUUCCGAAUUAUAUGUAUCUGCGAGAUUAAUUUUUGGUUUCGAUGUGCAAAAGCAAACCAUUUCUAUCGGAAACAUUCCUAUAAUGAAUUCCUUAGGAACCUUUAUUAUAAAUGGAAUAUACCGAAUUGUGAUCAAUCAAAUAUUGCUAAGUCCUGGUAUUUACUACCGCUCGGAAUUAGAUCAUAAGGGAAUUUCUAUCUACACCGGGACUAUAAUAUCAGAUUGGGGAGGGAGAUCGGAAUUAGCAAUUGAUAAAAAAGAAAGGAUAUGGGCUCGCGUGAGUAGAAAACAAAAGAUAUCUAUUCUAGUUCUAUCAUCAGCUAUGGGUUCGAAUCUAAGAGAAAUUCUAGAUAAUGUUUCCUACCCUGAAAUUUUCUUGUCUUUCCCGAAUGCUAAGGAGAAGAAGAGGAUUGAGUCAAAAGAAAAAGCUAUUUUGGAGUUUUAUCAACAAUUUGCUUGUGUAGGUGGGGACCUGGUAUUUUCGGAGUCCUUAUGCGAGGAAUUACAAAAGAAAUUUUUUCAACAAAAAUGUGAAUUAGGAAGGAUUGGUCGACGAAAUAUGAAUCGGAGACUUAAUCUUGAUAUACCUCAGAACAAUACAUUCUUGUUACCACGAGAUGUAUUGGCCGCUACGGAUCAUUUGAUUGGAAUGAAAUUUGGAACGGGUAUACUUGACGAUGACGAUAUGAAUCACUUGAAAAAUAAACGUAUUCGUUCGGUUGCGGAUCUGUUACAAGAUCAAUUCGGAUUGGCUCUUGGUCGUUUACAACAUGCAGUUCAAAAAACUAUUCGUAGAGUAUUCAUACGUCAAUCGAAACCGACUCCCCAAACUUUGGUAACUCCAACUUCAACUUCAAUUUUAUUAAUAACUACUUAUGAGACCUUUUUUGGCACAUACCCAUUAUCUCAAGUUUUUGAUCAAACGAAUCCAUUGACACAAACUGUUCAUGGGCGAAAAGUGAGUUGUUUAGGUCCUGGAGGGUUGACGGGGAGAACCGCAAGUUUUCGGAGCCGAGAUAUUCAUCCGAGUCACUAUGGGCGUAUUUGUCCAAUUGACACGUCUGAAGGAAUCAAUGUUGGACUUACUGGAUCCUUAGCAAUUCAUGCGAGAAUUGAUCACUUGUGGGGAUCUAUAGAGAGUCCGUUUUAUGAAAUAUCUGCUGAGAAAGCAAAAGAAAAAAAAGAGAGACAGGUGGUUUAUCUAUCACCAAAUAGAGAUGAGUAUUAUAUGAUAGCAGCAGGAAAUUCUUUGUCCUUGAAUCAAGGUAUUCAGGAAGAACAGGUUGUUCCAGCUAGAUACCGCCAAGAAUUCUUGACUAUUGCAUGGGAACAGAUUCAUGUUAGAAGUAUUUUUCCUUUCCAAUAUUUUUCUAUUGGGGGUUCUCUCAUUCCUUUUAUUGAGCACAAUGAUGCGAAUCGGGCUUUAAUGAGUUCUAAUAUGCAGCGCCAAGCAGUUCCACUUUCUCGGUCCGAGAAAUGCAUUGUUGGAACUGGAUUGGAACGCCAAACAGCUCUAGAUUCGAGGGUUUCCGUUAUAGCCGAACGCGAGGGAAAGAUCAUUUCUACUGAUAGUCAUAAGAUACUUUUAUCAAGUAGUGGGAAGACUAUAAGUAUUCCUUUAGUUAACCACCGUCGCUCUAACAAAAAUACUUGUAUGCACCAAAAACCUCGGGUUCCACGGGGUAAAUCCAUUAAAAAAGGACAAAUUUUAGCAGAAGGAGCUGCUACAGUUGGGGGGGAACUUGCUUUAGGAAAAAACGUAUUAGUAGCUUAUAUGCCAUGGGAAGGUUACAAUUUUGAAGACGCAGUACUAAUUAGCGAACGUUUGGUAUAUGAGGAUAUUUAUACCUCUUUUCACAUCCGGAAAUAUGAAAUUCAGACGGAUACGACAAGCCAGGGCUCCGCUGAAAAAAUCACUAAAGAAAUACCACAUCUAGAAGAACAUUUACUCCGCAAUUUGGACAAAAAUGGAGUUGUUAGGUUGGGAUCCUGGGUAGAAACUGGUGAUAUUUUAGUAGGUAAAUUAACGCCUCAGAUAGCGAGCGAAUCAUCAUAUAUCGCAGAAGCUGGAUUAUUACGGGCCAUAUUCGGCCUUGAGGUUUCCACUUCAAAAGAAACUUCUCUGAAAUUACCUAUAGGUGGAAGAGGGCGCGUUAUCGAUGUGAAAUGGAUCCAAAGGGACCCCCUCGACAUAAUGGUUCGUGUAUAUAUUUUACAGAAACGUGAAAUCAAAGUUGGGGAUAAAGUAGCCGGAAGACAUGGGAAUAAAGGGAUCAUUUCCAAAAUUUUGCCUAGGCAAGAUAUGCCCUAUUUGCAAGAUGGAACACCCGUUGAUAUGGUCUUCAAUCCCUUAGGAGUACCCUCCCGAAUGAAUGUGGGACAAAUAUUUGAAAGCUCGCUCGGAUUAGCGGGGGAUCUGCUAAAGAAACAUUAUAGAAUAGCACCCUUUGAUGAGAGAUAUGAGCAAGAGGCUUCAAGAAAACUUGUGUUUUCAGAAUUAUAUGAAGCCAGUAAAGAAACAAAAAAUCCAUGGGUAUUUGAACCCGAGUACCCGGGAAAAAGCAGAAUAUUUGAUGGAAGAACAGGCGACCCCUUUGAGCAACCUGUUCUAAUAGGGAAGUCCUAUAUCUUAAAAUUAAUUCAUCAAGUUGAUGAGAAAAUUCAUGGGCGUUCUACUGGGCCCUACUCACUUGUUACACAACAACCGGUUAGAGGAAGAGCCAAGCAAGGGGGACAACGAGUAGGAGAAAUGGAAGUUUGGGCUUUAGAAGGAUUUGGUGUUGCUCAUAUUUUACAAGAGAUACUUACUUAUAAAUCUGACCAUCUUAUAGCUCGCCAAGAAAUACUUAAUGCUACGAUCUGGGGAAAAAGAAUACCUAAUCAUGAGGAUCCUCCAGAAUCUUUUCGAGUGCUCGUUCGAGAACUACGAUCUUUGGCUCUAGAACUGAAUCAUUUCCUUGUAUCUGAAAAGAACUUCCAGGUUAAUAGGGAGGAAGUUUGAUCGGAAUAAAUAUAAAUUCUUUUCUUAUUUCUAUUUUAUGAUUGACCAAUAUAAACAUCAACAACUUCAAAUUGGACUCGUUUCCCCUCAACAAAUAAAGGCUUGGGCUAACAAAAACCUACCUAAUGGAGAAGCCGUUGGCGAAGUCACAAGGCCCUCUACUUUUCAUUAUAAAACCGAUAAACCAGAAAAAGAUGGAUUGUUUUGCGAAAGAAUCUUUGGACCCAUAAAAAGCGGGAUUUGCGGUUGUGGCAAUUCUCGAGCGAGCGGAGCUGAAAACGAAGACGAAAGAUUUUGCCAAAAAUGCGGGGUAGAAUUUGUGGAUUCUCGGAUACGAAGAUAUCAAAUGGGAUACAUCAAACUCGCAUGUCCCGUGACUCAUGUGUGGUAUUUGAAAGGUCUUCCUAGUUAUAUCGCGAAUCUUUUAGAUAAACCUCUUAAGAAGUUGGAGGGCCUAGUAUACGGCGAUUUCUCUUUUGCUAGGCCCAGCACUAAAAAACCCACUUUUUUACGAUUACGAGGUUUAUUCGAAGAGGAAAUUGCAUCCUGUAACCACAGCAUUUCUCCCUUUUUUUCUACCCCAGGCUUUGCAACAUUUCGAAAUCGGGAAAUUGCGACAGGAGCAGGUGCUAUUAGAGAACAAUUAGCAGAUUUGGAUUUGCGAAUUAUUAUAGAGAAUUCUUUGGUCGAAUGGAAGGAAUUAGAAGACGAGGGGUAUAGUGGAGAUGAGUGGGAAGAUAGAAAAAGACGAAUAAGAAAAGUUUUUUUGAUUAGACGCAUGCAAUUGGCGAAACAUUUUAUUCAAACAAAUGUAGAACCAGAAUGGAUGGUUUUGUGCUUAUUACCGGUUCUUCCUCCCGAAUUGAGACCUAUUGUUUAUAGGUCUGGAGAUAAAGUAGUGACUUCAGACAUUAAUGAACUUUAUAAGAGAGUUAUCCGUCGGAACAACAAUCUUGCCUAUCUAUUAAAAAGAAGUGAAUUAGCGCCAGCAGAUUUAGUAAUGUGCCAGGAAAAAUUGGUACAAGAAGCCGUGGAUACACUUCUUGAUAGUGGGUCCCGCGGGCAACCGACGAGGGAUGGUCACAAUAAAGUAUACAAAUCACUUUCAGAUGUAAUUGAAGGUAAAGAGGGAAGGUUUCGCGAGACUCUGCUUGGGAAACGGGUCGAUUACUCGGGGCGUUCUGUCAUUGUUGUGGGUCCUUCGCUUUCAUUACAUCAAUGUGGAUUACCUCUAGAGAUAGCAAUAAAGCUUUUUCAGCUAUUUGUAAUUCGCGAUUUAAUCACGAAACGCGCCACUUCUAAUGUCAGGAUUGCUAAAAGGAAAAUUUGGGAAAAGGAACCCAUUGUAUGGGAAAUACUUCAAGAAGUUAUGCGGGGACAUCCUGUACUGUUAAAUAGAGCACCUACUCUGCAUAGAUUAGGCAUACAGGCCUUUCAACCCACUUUAGUAGAGGGGCGUACUAUUUCUUUACACCCAUUAGUGUGUAAGGGUUUCAAUGCAGACUUUGAUGGAGAUCAAAUGGCUGUUCAUCUACCUUUAUCCUUGGAAGCUCAGGCGGAAGCCCGUUUACUUAUGUUUUCUCAUAUGAAUCUCUUAUCUCCUGCUAUUGGGGAUCCUAUUUGCGUACCAACCCAAGACAUGCUUAUCGGGCUUUAUGUAUUAACAAUUGGAAAGCGUCGAGGUAUUUGUGCAAAUAGAUAUAAUAGUUUCAGAAACUAUCCAAAUUUAAAAGUCAAUUACAAUAAUAAUAAUUCUAAGUAUAGGAAAGAUAAAGAACCCCAUUUUUCUAGUUCUUAUGAUGCACUGGGAGCUUAUAGACAAAAACUAAUCAGUUUAGAUAGUCCCUUGUGGCUACGAUGGAACCUGGAUCAACGCGUCAUUGGGUCAAGAGAAGUUCCGAUUGAAAUUCAAUAUGAAUCUUUGGGGACUUAUCAUGAGAUUUAUGCUCACUAUCUAAUAAUGGGAAAUAGAAAAAAAGAAAUUCGUUCGAUAUACAUUCGAACCACUCUUGGUCAUAUUUCUUUUUAUAGAGAAAUAGAGGAAGCCGUACAAGGAUUUAGUCAGGCCUAUUCAUACACUACCUAAACAAGAAAGUUAGAUUCGGCGAUGCCCCUCCCCUUUGCUUUCGGGGGGCAUUCCGAUUUCCCUAGUAUCAUCAUUAUUUGCCACGCGAAUCCAGAUUGAGAUUGAGGCAAUUAAGUUAAUUAAAUUUUCGAAUCACUGACUCAGGCCCAUUGUCGAAUCCUACUCAGCAAUUGUCGAAUCCUACUCAGCCGAAAAGGGGGUACUUAUGUAUGGCGGAACGGGCCAAUCUGGUCUUUCAUAAUAAAGAGAUAGACGGAACUGGUAUGAAACGACUUAUUAGCAGAUUAAUAGAUCAUUUUGGAAUGGGAUAUACAUCCCAUAUACUGGAUCAACUAAAGACUCUGGGCUUCUAUCAAGCCACUACUACAUCGAUUUCGUUAGGAAUCGAGGAUCUUUUAACAAUACCCUCUAAGGGAUGGUUAGUCCAAGACGCGGAACAACAGAGUUUUCUUUUGGAGAAACACUAUUAUUAUGGGGCUGUACACGCGGUAGAAAAAUUACGCCAAUCUGUUGAGAUAUGGUAUGCGACAAGUGAAUAUUUGAAACAAGAAAUGAAUUCAAAUUUUCGGAUAACGGAUCCUUCUAAUCCAGUCUAUCUAAUGUCUUUUUCAGGAGCCAGAGGAAAUGCAUCUCAAGUACACCAAUUAGUAGGUAUGAGAGGAUUAAUGUCGGACCCUCAAGGACAAAUGAUUGAUUUACCUAUUCAAAGCAAUUUACGCGAGGGACUUUCUUUGACAGAAUAUAUAAUUUCCUGCUAUGGAGCCCGCAAAGGGGUUGUAGAUACUGCUGUACGAACAGCAGAUGCUGGAUAUCUUACACGUAGACUUGUUGAAGUAGUUCAACAUAUUAUUGUGCGUAGAAGAGAUUGUGGUACUAUCCGAGGUAUUUCUGUAAGUCCUCAAAAUGGGAUGACGGAAAAACUUUUUGUCCAAACACUAAUUGGUCGUGUAUUAGCAGACGAUAUAUAUAUCGGUUCACGAUGCAUUGCCGCGCGAAAUCAAGAUAUUGGAAUUGGAUUAGUCAAUCGAUUCAUAACUGCCUUUCGAGCACAACCAUUUCGAGCACAACCAAUAUAUAUUAGAACCCCCUUUACUUGCCGAAGCACUUCUUGGAUCUGUCAAUUAUGCUAUGGCCGGAGUCCUACUCAUAGUGAUCUGGUGGAAUUGGGAGAAGCCGUAGGUAUUAUUGCGGGUCAAUCAAUUGGGGAGCCAGGGACUCAACUAACAUUAAGAACUUUUCAUACUGGCGGAGUAUUCACAGGGGGUACUGCCGACCUUGUACGAUCCCCUUCGAAUGGAAAAAUCCAAUUCAAUGAGAAUUUGGUUCACCCCACACGUACCCGUCAUGGACAGCCUGCUUUUCUAUGUUAUAUAGACUUGCAUGUAACUAUUCAGAGUCAAGAUAUUCUAUAUAGUGUGAAUAUUCCCUCAAAAAGCUUGAUUCUAGUGCAAAAUGAUCAAUAUGUAAAAUCUGAACAAGUAAUUGCGGAGAUUCGUGCCGGAACGUCCACUUUACAUUUUAAAGAAAGGGUACAAAAGCAUAUUUAUUCUGAAUCAGACGGCGAAAUGCACUGGAGUACUGAUGUUUACCAUGCGCCCGAAUAUCAAUAUGGUAAUCUUCGUCGAUUACCAAAAACAAGCCAUUUAUGGAUAUUAUCCGUAAGUAUGUGCAGAUCCAGUAUAGCGUCUUUUUCACUCCACAAGGAUCAAGAUCAAAUGAAUACUUAUGGUAAAAAAGAUAGGGAAAUUCUUGAUUAUUCAACGUCGGAUCGAAUCAUGUCCAAUGGCCAUUGGAAUUUGAUCUAUCCUUCUAUUUUUCAAGAUAAUUCAGAUUUGUUGGCGAAAAAGCGAAGAAAUAGGUUCGUCAUUCCAUUACAAUAUCAUCAAGAACAAGAGAAAGAACUAAUAUCCUGUUUUGGGAUUUCGAUUGAAAUCCCCUUUAUGGGUGUUUUACGUAGAAAUACUAUUUUUGCUUAUUUUGACGAUCCCCGAUACAGAAAAGAUAAAAAGGGUUCAGGAAUUGUUAAAUUUAGAUAUAGGACCCUAGAAGAAGAAUAUAGGACUCGAGCGGAAGACUCAGAAGAGGAAUAUGAGACCCUAGAACACGAAUACAGGACCCGAGAGGACGAAUAUGAAACCCUAGAAGAAUCUAAAUAUGGAAUCCUAGAAGACGAAUACGAAUAUGAAACCCUAGAAAACGAAUAUGGGAGCCCAGAAAACAAAUAUGGGAACCCAGAGAACGAAUAUAGGACUUUAGAGAAAGACUCAGAAGAGGAAUAUGGGAACCCAGAGAGCAAAUAUAGGACCCAAGAGGACGAAUAUGGAACUUUAGAAGAAGACUCAGAAGACGAAUAUGGCAGCCCCGGGGAAAGCGGCGAGGAAAAAUAUGGUACUUUAGAGGAAGACUCAGAAGAAGACUCAGAGGACGAAUACGAGAGCCCAGAGGAAGAUUCCAUCUUAAAAAAAGAGGGUUUGAUUGAGCAUCGAGGAACAAAAGAAUUUAGUCUAAAAUACCAAAAAGAAGUAGAUCGGUUUUUUUUCAUUCUUCAAGAACUUCAUAUCUUGCCGAGAUCUUCAUCCCUAAAGAUACUUGACAAUAGUAUUAUUGGAGUGGAUACACAACUCACAAAAAAUACAAGAAGUGGACUAGGCGGACUGGUCCGAGUGAAGAGAAAAAAAAGCCAUACGGAACUCAAAAUAUUUUCCGGAGAUAUUCAUUUUCCUGAAGAGGCAGAUAAGAUAUUAGGUGGGUGUUUGAUACCGCCAGAAAGACAAAAAAAAGAUUCUAAGGAAUCAAAAAAAAAGAAAAAUUGGGUCUAUGUUCAACGGAAAAAAAUUCUCAAGAGCAAGGAAAAGUAUUUUGUUUCCGUUCGCCCUACAGUGGCAUAUGAAAUGGACGAAGGAAGAAAUUUAGCAACACUUUUCCCGCAGGAUCUCUUGCAAGAAGAAAAUAAUCUCCAAAUUCGACUUGUCAAUUUUAUUUAUCAUGAAAAUAGCAAGUUAACUCAAAGAAUUUAUCACACAAAUAGUCAAUUUGUUAGAACUUGCUUAGUAGUGAAUUGGGAACAAGAAGAAAAAGAAAAGGCUGGUGCUUCCCUUGUUGAGGUAAGAGCAAAUGAUCUUAUUCGCGAUUUCCUAAGAAUUGAGUUAGUCAAGUCCACUAUUUCGUAUACACGAAAAAGGUAUGAUAGGACAAGUGGAGGACCGACUCCCCAUAAUAGGUUAGAUCGCGCCAAUAGCAAUUCUUUUUAUUCCAAGGCGAAGAUUGAAUCACUUAGCCAACAUCAAGAAGCUAUUGGCACUUUGUUGAAUCGAAAUAAAGAAUACCAAUCUUUGAUGAUUUUGUCGGCAUCCAACUGUUCUCGAAUUGGUUUAUUCAAGAAUUCAAAACAUCCCAAUGCGAUAAAAGAAUGGAAUCCUAGAAUUCCUAUUCUAGAAAUUUUUGGGCCCUUAGGGGCUAUUGUAGCUAGUAUAUCGCAUUUUUCUUCAUCUUACUAUUUACUAACGCAUAAUAAAAUCCUGCUAAAAAAAUAUUUGUUCGUUGACAAUUUGAAACAAACCUUCCAAGUACUUCAAGAACUUAAAUACUCUUUAAUAGAUGAAAAUAAAAGGAUUUCCAAUUUCGAUAGUAACAUAAUGUUGGAUCCAUUCCUUUUGAAUUGUCACUUUGUCCAUCAUGAUUCUUGGGAAGAGACAUUGGCAAUAAUUCACCUUGGACAAUUUAUUUGUGAAAAUGUAUGUCUAUUUAAAUCGCACAUAAAAAAAUCUGGUCAAAUUUUCAGUGUAAAUAUGGAUUCCUUUGUUAUAAGAGCAGCUAAACCUUAUUUGGCCACUACAGGAGCAACUGUUAAUGGUCAUUAUGGAGAAAUCCUUUACAAGGGAGAUAGGUUAGUUACGUUUAUAUAUGAAAAAUCGAGAUCUAGUGACAUAACGCAAGGUCUUCCAAAAGUGGAACAAAUCUUUGAAGCGCGUUCAAUUGAUUCAUUAUCCCCCAAUCUCGAAAGGAGAAUUGAGGAUUGGAAUGAGCGUAUACCAAGAAUUCUUGGGGUCCCUUGGGGAUUCUUGAUUGGAGCUGAGCUAACCAUAGCCCAAAGUCGUAUUUCUUUGGUUAAUAAAAUCCAAAAGGUUUAUCGAUCCCAAGGGGUACAGAUCCAUAAUAGACAUAUAGAGAUUAUUAUACGCCAAGUAACAUCAAAAGUGCGGGUUUCCGAAGAUGGAAUGUCUAAUGUUUUUUCGCCUGGGGAAUUAAUCGGACUAUUGCGAGCGGAACGAGCAGGGCGAGCUUUGGAUGAAUCGAUCUAUUAUCGGGCAAUCUUAUUGGGAAUAACAAGGGCUUCCCUGAAUACCCAAAGUUUCAUAUCUGAAGCAAGUUUUCAAGAAACUGCUCGAGUUUUAGCAAAAGCUGCCCUACGAGGUCGCAUUGAUUGGUUGAAAGGCUUGAAAGAAAACGUAGUUCUGGGGGGGAUUAUACCUGUUGGUACCGGAUUCCAAAAAUUUGUGCAUCGUUCCCCACAAGACAAGAACCUUUAUUUCGAAAUAAAAAAAAAAAAUCUAUUCGCGUCGGAAAUGAGAGAUUUUUUGUUUCUCCAUACAGAAUUAGUUUCUUCAGAUUCUGACGUAACAAACAAUUUUUAUGAGACAUAAAAACCCCCAUUUAACAUUUAACCCUAAGGAUACAUAAAACAUAUUUUUUACUUUACUAGACUUUUGAACUUAGAACACUAACAGGUUAAAUUUUAGAUUUUUAAGAUUUUUAUUUUAAUAAGUAAAACAAGUCAGUUAAUUCAUUAAAUUAAGGUUUUGUUUAUACCAUGUAUCAAUGUAUCAAUGGCCAACUCUUAGUACAAGGUUCUCUCAGAACAAUUAUUAUUUUAUUUAUUUCAAGCUAUUUCGGAUCUUUCUUAAUCUUCAAAAAGAAAUAAAUUCCGUAAUGGAAUGUUAGGAUGAAAAAAAAAGGAAGUGUGGAAAAAAUGACAAGAAGAUAUUGGAACAUUAAUUUGAAAGAGAUGAUAGAAGCAGGAGUUCAUUUUGGUCAUGGUAUUAAGAAAUGGAAUCCUAAAAUGGCCCCUUACAUUUCGGCAAAGCGUAAAGGUACUCAUAUUAUAAAUCUCGCUAGAACGGCCCGUUUUUUAUCAGAAGCUUGUGAUUUAGUUUUUGAUGCAGCAAGUCAGGGAAAAAGUUUCUUAAUUGUUGGUACCAAAAAAAGAGCAACAGAUUUAGUAGCAUCAGCUGCAAUAAGGGCUCGUUGUCAUUAUGUUAAUAAAAAGUGGUUCAGUGGUAUGUUAACGAAUUGGUCGAUUACGAAAACUAGACUUUCUCAAUUUAGAGACUUAAGAGCGGAAGAAAAAAUGGGAAAAUUCCACCAUCUCCCAAAAAGAGAUGUGGCAAUCUUGAAGAGAAAAUUAUCUACCUUACAAAGGUAUCUCGGCGGGAUCAAAUAUAUGACGAGAUUGCCAGACAUUGUGAUCGUCCUUGAUCAGCAAAAAGAGUAUAUAGCUCUUCGGGAAUGUGCCAUUUUGGGAAUUCCUACUAUUUCUUUAGUCGAUACAAAUUGUGACCCGGAUCUCGCGAAUAUAUCGAUUCCAGCCAACGAUGACACUAUGACUUCAAUUCGAUUGAUUCUUAACAAAUUAGUAUUUUCAAUUUGUGAGGGCCGUUCUCUCUAUAUAAGAAAUCGUUGAUUAAGAAUAUAUAGUGAAUUCUUGGACAACUGCGUAGAUUUAUGGAAUGACUUACUAUAUCUUUUUUUGCAUAGAAUUUGUUUUGCAUAGAAAAAAGAAGGGGAAUAUUGAUAUAUAUUAGAGGGUAUUGAUAUAUAUUAUGAUCUGAUGUGCUUUCUUGGUAUCCUAAAUAUCAAAUUAAUAGUUCAAGUUGCUGAGUUGAGAAAGAGAUGGUUGAAUCAAAAGAAUUCCUUUUUUGAAGUUCAAUUUUUAUCAGAGGACAAUAUGAAUAUUAUACCUUGUUCCAUUAAAACACUCAAGGGGUUAUACGAUAUAUCGGGUGUAGAAGUAGGCCAACACUUCUAUUGGCAAAUAGGAGGUUUUCAAAUUCAUGCCCAGGUACUCAUCACUUCUUGGGUCGUAAUUACUAUCUUGCUAGGUUCAGUUGUCAUAGCUGUUCGGAAUCCACAAACCAUCCCGACCGACGGGCAGAAUUUUUUUGAAUAUGUCCUUGAGUUUAUUCGAGACUUGAGCAAAACUCAGAUUGGAGAAGAAUAUGGUCCCUGGGUUCCCUUUAUUGGAACUAUGUUCCUUUUUAUUUUUGUUUCAAAUUGGUCGGGUGCUCUUUUACCUUGGAAAAUUAUAGAGUUACCCCAUGGGGAAUUAGCAGCGCCCACGAAUGAUAUAAAUACUACUGUUGCUUUAGCUUUACUCACGUCAGCGGCAUAUUUUUAUGCUGGUCUUAGCAAAAAAGGAUUGAGCUAUUUCGAGAAAUAUAUUAAACCAACCCCAAUCCUUUUACCAAUUAACAUCCUAGAAGAUUUCACAAAACCAUUAUCGCUUAGCUUUCGACUUUUCGGGAAUAUAUUGGCGGAUGAAUUAGUCGUUGUUGUUCUUGUUUCUUUAGUCCCCUUAGUAAUCCCUAUACCGGUCAUGUUUCUUGGAUUAUUUACAAGCGGUAUUCAAGCUCUUAUUUUUGCAACAUUAGCCGCAGCCUAUAUAGGUGAAUCCAUGGAGGGUCAUCAUUGAAUUGACUAGUUUUGGAAUAUAGUAUUUUUUUUUUCAGCUUAGCUCAAUUCAUGCAUGGUUCCAGAUAAUCUGCUUGGUUGCAAUAGUUAGAAAUGCGUAUGAAUAUAUAGCCUAGAGUUGUAGGAGAGAGAAUAGAAUAGACUAUAUUAUGGAAUUUUCAAAGUAUAUAUGCAUUAAGGAGGGUGGAGUCAGGCUAGAUCUAUACUAUAAUAAAUAUCCUUAAUAUCUAUAAGUGGAGUCCUCUUUUAUGCGGGUUUCCACUUUAAGCAAUGAUUUUAGAAUCCGAUUCAAUAGAAAAUGAGAAAAUAUGCAAACAAAAUAGAAGAAACAAAUGUAUAUAGGAUAUUGAUAUUAUAUUAUAUAUUCCUAGGUUAGAUUCAUUAUCUAAUCCGAUAUAUGGAUAUAGAAUUCCCUUCUAUGUAGUUCGGACAAUUCACAUUUCAAUUUGAUUUCAAUUUGUACUUUUUAGUUACUUUACUUCUCCCCAAUAGAGCUUAGAAGUAAGAAUUUUUUGGUUGAUUGUAUCCUUAACCAUUUCUUUUUUUUUGACACGAGGAACUACUCACCAUGAAUCCACUAAUUGCUGCUGCUUCUGUUAUUGCUGCUGGAUUGGCCGUAGGGCUUGCUUCUAUUGGACCUGGAGUUGGUCAAGGUACUGCUGCAGGACAAGCUGUAGAAGGUAUUGCGAGACAGCCAGAAGCAGAAGGUAAAAUACGAGGUACUUUAUUGCUUAGUCUAGCUUUUAUGGAAGCUUUAACAAUUUAUGGACUAGUUGUGGCACUAGCGCUUUUAUUUGCGAACCCUUUUGUUUAAUCCUAAAAAAAAAAGUUCUUUCGAUUUCGAUUAGAUACUUUUUUCUUUUUUUAGUAAAUUGGUAUUUGCUUCCGCAAUUCCAAUUAUAUCAAUACUUUAUUUAAUUUACUCCUAUUUAUUACUCCUGGAAUUAUCUAUUUAUCGGGACAGAUAAUACCGCAUUCUAGGAAGGGCUGAGUUGAGUAUGAUUAAUUUAGAAGAUAUGCUCGCCUUCUUAUUUCCCGUCCUUAGUUUAGGAAAGUGGAAAGUUUUUUCCUUUUAUUUUAGGAAUUUUGGGAACGGAACAUUUCAACAAAGGAAGCCUUUCACCGGUCAAACAAGACCUAAGACUUAAUCUAAAAGAAAUUACUAGAUUGAAUCUAUUUGCAUUAAAAAAACCGAUCAAAAAAGGGCGAGCGAAGUAAGUGAUCGAAAAACUUUGUUCUUUGUUCGUCCUAUCUAUAAGAGGAGAGCAUAUGAAAAAUGUAACCCAUUCUUUCGUUUUUUUAGCUCACUGGCCAUCCGCUGGCAGUUUCGGGCUUAAUACCGAUAUUUUAGCAACAAAUCUAAUAAAUCUAACUGUAGUGGUUGGUGUUUUGAUUUUUUUUGGAAAGGGAGUGUGUGCGAGUUGUCUAUUUCAAGAAUAGAUUGGAUCUAUCCGGCUGCACUUUAGAAUAUUUUUUAGUAUUUUUCGGAUAAAUAAGAAAAGGGUGCACGAUCUCGACGAAUUACUUCUGAAUAAAUUCAGAAAUCAUAUGGAAGAACCAUAGCAUUUCGCGACUCAUUGGUAAAUCAAUUUUGAUUCUCUAUAAACCAAGAAUGUGAGACCAUUAACACGGUUAAAGCUAAACUGCUUGAAGUCCAGGCAAAAAGAGGUACUCUUUCUACAACUAUAUUAGUAUUAGUACCGAAUUUAAACGGGAAAUAGCUAAUGUAAAAUUUAUCUGAUAUAGAACACUCAUAUCGAUAAAAUGGUUUGAACUAUUUACUAGAAAAAAAAAGAAGGGGCACCCUGCCCUUUUUUAACCAAUGCCGAAUCGACGACCUAUGUAUAAAAAAGAGAAAUUUUUUGGAUUUGAAGAAAAAAAAAAAAGAAUUCUAUUAAUUUUCAUUUUCCAUUUAUUUAGUUAGUUUUUCUUAAUGAAAUUGAAAUUAUUAACUAAAGGGCAAAUAUAAAUAAAGAAACAACUUUGCUGACCAUGAUAUAUUUUUAUCUAGGCGGAAGAGUCCUCUUAAUAUUUAUCUAGUCUUAUAUAGGUUUCGGUAUAUUGAAAUAUAAACAUAAAAAAUAAGAUAGAGGAUAGGCUCAUUACUUAUACUUAAAAAAAGAUAUGGAAAUUGCUAUAGCAAAAAAAGAAAAAAAGGAGCGUGAGAGCCAAAUGAAUCGAAAGAUUCAUGUUUGGUUCGGGAAGAGAUCAUAAAAGUUGUAAACUUACAAAAUAAUCUACUUUCAUUAAAAGAUUUAUUAGAUAAUCGAAAACAGAGGAUCUUGAGUACUAUUCGAAAUUCAGAAGAAUUGCGUAGAGGGACCAUUGAGCAACUCGAAAAAGCUCGGAUUCGAUUACAGAAAGUCGAACUAGAAGCGGAUGAGUAUCGAAUGAAUGGAUACUCUGAGAUAGAACGAGAAAAAGCAAAUUUGAUUAAUGCUACUUCUAUUAGUUUGGAACAAUUAGAAAAGUCUAAAAACGAAACCCUUUAUUUUGAAAAACAAAGGGCAAUGAAUCAGGUCCGACAGCGGGUUUUCCAACAGGCCGUACAAGGAGCUCUAGGAACUCUGAAUAGUUGUUUGAAUACCGAGUUACAUUUCCGUACGAUUCGUGCUAAUAUUGGCAUUCUCGGGUCCCUGGAAUGGAAGAGAUAAUUAAAUUAAUUAGGCCUUGAACUUCUACUUUCGUUUAGAAUUUAGGCAUUAUUUUUCCCCUUGCUUUCGAAAAAAGAGUCAAGAAACACUAAUGGCAACCCUUCGAGUCGACGAAAUUCAUAAAAUUCUCCGCGAACGUAUUGAACAAUAUAAUAGGAAAGUAGGGAUUGAGAAUAUAGGUCGCGUAGUUCAAGUGGGGGAUGGGAUUGCUCGUAUUAUAGGUCUUGGUGAAAUAAUGUCGGGUGAAUUAGUCCAAUUUGCAGAAGGUACUAGGGGUAUUGCUCUGAAUUUGGAAUCCAAAAAUGUUGGGAUUGUAUUAAUGGGCGAUGGGUUGAUGAUACAAGAGGGCAGUUUUGUAAAAGCAACAGGAAGAAUUGCUCAGAUACCCGUGAGUGAGGCUUACUUGGGUCGUGUUGUAAAUGCUCUGGCUAAACCUAUUGAUGGGAAAGGCGAAAUUAUAGCUUCCGAAUCUCGCUUAAUUGAAUCUCCUGCUCCAAGUAUAAUUUCCAGGCGUUCCGUAUACGAACCUCUUCAAACAGGGCUUAUUGCUAUCGAUUCGAUGAUUCCUAUAGGGCGCGGUCAGCGAGAGUUAAUUAUUGGGGACAGACAGACUGGCAAAACAGCAGUAGCUACAGAUACAAUUCUCAAUCAAAAAGGGCAAGGUGUAAUAUGUGUUUAUGUAGCUAUCGGUCAAAGAGCAUCCUCCGUAGCUCAAGUAGUAACUACUUUCCAUGAGGAGGGGGCCAUGGAAUACACUAUUGUAGUAGCUGAAAUGGCGGAUUCACCUGCUACAUUACAAUACCUCGCUCCUUAUACGGGAGCAGCCCUGGCUGAGUAUUUUAUGUACCGCGAACGGCAUACUUUAAUAAUUUAUGAUGAUCUCUCCAAACAGGCACAAGCUUGAGUAUUCUAUNNNNNNNNNNNNNNNNNNNNNNNNNNNNNNNNNNNNNNNNNNNNNNNNNNNNNNNNNNNNNNNNNNNNNNNNNNNNNNNNNNNNNNNNNNNNNNNNNNNNAAUCUAAUAAUUAUAUUAACAUUCCAAAAUUUAUAAUUUUGGGAUGUUACACAACAAUGAUGAUAUAUGAUGAAGUGAAUGAGAGUGGAAAAGUUGGUAUGAACUCUAUCUAUUUUGUUUUUGUAAAUAUGACUAGCUUGUCGUCCCCGAUUCAGCUUUGUUGUGAGAGAACCAUGUUUGCAGUGACAACUUAGAGAUCCUAGUUUCUGAUGCCAUGCUUAGUUAGCUGAGAGUUUAUAAUGGUUUGUCUUGAAUGCCAACAUAGAUUUUAAGAUGGCUAUGAUGUAGUAUGAUAGGAUGGUAUUCUCCUUUGAAUGUUUCAAGUGCCUUGACUUGGCGCAUGUUCAUGCAUGUAGUUGAAACAAAAUCAACAUAGCCUCUAUGAUGUUCGUGUUCAUGGUGAUUUAUAUCCUGUUCAUGCUUGCAUUCAAUGUUAGUCAAACUCAUUGCAUCUUGAUGACUAUUGUCACUCUCUAGUUGGUCGCUUCCCAGUCUUUUUGCUAGCCUUCACUUGUACUAAGCGGAAUACUGCUUGUGCAUCCACUUCCAUAAACCCAAAAGUUUUUCCAUGAGAGUCCACCAUACCUACCUAUUUGCGGUAUUUACCUGCCGUUCCAAGUAAAUUUGCAUGUGUCAUUCUCUAAACCUUCAAGAAAUAAUAUGUUUUGCAUGCCCGAACCGCUCAUGUGGUGACAGGGGGCUAUUGGUAUCUUCCAUGCUAGGAGUGUUAUCCUAAACAUGUGUUUAUUCACUCUCAUGCACGAGAAAGGUGCCGGUAAUUGGAAUGCCCAGUUCCACGCUGAAAUCAAAAACAUAACUGUAAAACAAGACUCCCCCUGGAUUGAUGUUAGUAUGGACGGUAGCCGAGGAUUCGGCUAGCCGUGGAGUGUGAUUGAUUGGUGGUGGGGGAGUUAAAACUUUACUUUUCUGUUUGGGAACCGCCUAUAGCAUGAGUAGCAUGGAAGAUAUUGAGAAAUCUUGGUCAUUGCGUUGACAAUGAAAGCAUGCCACCCAAAAUUAUUGUCUCUCUUUUCAAAGCUUGAGCUCUGGCACCUCUACAAAUCAAUCCUUCCCUCGGCGAAGGGCCUGUCUAUUUAUUUUCCUGUCGAGUCAUCCUCCUAUUUUAUAAGCACCAAUUAGAGAGCACCUGUGUCAUUUUUAUGCUUUGCUUUUGAUUGAUAUUGAGUAUGACUAUGACUGGAUCUUCGUUGCUAUGAAUUACAAUGUUUAGUCAGCCCUUGAUCUUUGAAAGUGCUCUGCAUUUAUGUUUUGCGGUCUUAGAAAGAGCUAGUGAGAUACCACCUAUUCAUAUUGCUUCAUACUUGUUUUGAUUGAAAUGUUGGUAUUUGAAACUGAUUAUUAUUUGCUCGUUAGCUGAUUAUGCGAUUGAUAUUAGUUUACCGUGAGAACUUCGUGUCACUUGCUUAUGUGGUUAACUUGUUAUGGAUCCUCCAACAUGCGGUUAUGGUUGUGUCUAUUUGCAUAGAAGUUAUAUUGUUAUGGAUCCUCCAACAUGCGGUGCCUGCUUUGGAUAUUUUGCUAGCCAAAAUUUCGUACUAAGUAGAAAUACUACUUGUGCAUCCAAAAACACUUAAACCCAAUUUAUUUCCAUGAGUGUACACCGUACCUACCUAGAGAUUGAAUAAUAUCCUUCAAGUAAGUUGUCAUUGGUGCACAAAGCAAUAAAAAUUGCUCUUAAAUAUGUUUGAUCUUUUAUUGUAAGGGAAAUAAGCGAUGUACAAACUUGUGAUGGCAAAGUAAUAAAAGCAACAGACUAAAUAAUAAAGGAUGCUAUCAGAAGAGGCAAUAUAACAUGAAGUUCUUUUGCAUUAAGAGAUUGCACAUCCAAAAAUAAAAAGCGACGACAACAUGNNNNNNNNNNNNNNNNNNNNNNNNNNNNNNNNNNNNNNNNNNNNNNNNNNNNNNNNNNNNNNNNNNNNNNNNNNNNNNNNNNNNNNNNNNNNNNNNNNNNAGAGGAGGAGAAGAAGAAGAAAGAGGAGGAAGAGGAGAAGAAGAAGAAAUCAAGAAGAAGGAGGAGGAGGAGAAGGCGGCCAGGGGCCUUCUCCUCCUCCUCCUCCUCCUCCUUCUUCUCUUCUUCUUCAUCUCUUCUUCUUCUUUCUUUUAAUUUUGAGCUUAUUAUGGUAGAAGAAGAAGAAGAAAUCAAGAAGAAGAAGAAAGAGGAGGAAGAGGAGAAGAAGCAGAAAGAGGAGGAAGAGGNGAAAGAGGAGGAAGAGAAGAAGAAGAAAGAGGAGGAGAAGAAAGAGGAGGAAGAGAAGAAGAAGAAAGAGGAGGAGGAGGAGAAAGAGGAGGAGGAGAAGAAGAAGAAAGAGGAGGAAGAGGAGAAGAAGAAGAAAUCAAGAAGAAGAAGGAGGAGGAGGAGGAGGAGGAGAAGGAUAGGCCUUCUCCUCCUCCUCCUUCUCCUCCUCCUCCUCCCUUCUCCUCCUCCUCCUCCUCCUCCUCCUCCUCCUCCUUCUCUUCUUCUUCAUAUCUUCUUCUUCUUUCUUUUCAUUUUGCCUAUUUCUUCUCCUCUUCUCCUCUUGUUGGAGCUAAAUUACCUAAUUAUGUCUUUUUUGAGCUAAAUUGGCUAAUUAUCUCAUUUUAGAGGAAAACAAGCUAAGUUUGGAGGAGAAACUUACCGUAGUGGUCAUCAAGGAGGAGAAACACCACGGUUGCUCGCGCCGGCUUCGUCUGGAGACGGUUUCCCUGGAGAAGGCUCUGGACCCGCGCCCACCAUCUUUCAACACCUGCCAUGAUAAAGAUUAAAAGAAAUUAGUACAACAUAAAAAAAUUGAAUGACUGACAUGAAUAAUAAUAUGUACAUGAAUAGUAAAUAUUAAAAUAUAUAUAAUUUAAGUUUUGAAUCUUACAAACUAAUAAUCAUCAUCAAUAAAUGCAUCAUCAUCAUCACUAUCAUGCAUGUCUUCAUGAAUGACGUGCUCAUCGGGUUCAACGGCAUGAAGUUGUGAAAGGCCUUCCUUUAAUCGUUGAAGCAUUGACAGGUCAUCCGCAUCAGUAACCUCUACGAGUUCCAGGUCUUCUGGUUCCGGCUCAGGGCUGGAGUCGGAUUCAUUGUCGCUGUCUACUUCCAUGUUCUUGGAUGAAGCACGGCGGUUCUUGAAACGUUUCUUGGAAAGACGUGCUUCUUGGAAGAAUUCUCCAUCAUAUGUGUCUGGGUUAAUGUGAGGUUCAUAAUCCUGUUCAUUUGGGAGAGGUGGUCUGACAUGUGGCGGCACUUCAUAAACAACAUACCAACCUUCCAGAUUCUUAUCCGUUUGGCAUGCCCACGGUAGGUAGAAAACUUGGGUCGCCUAUUGAGCCGUAAUAUAGACAUCGGGAACAUCUAAAUGGGUGUUUGGAUUGAUUUCGACUAGUCCUAUAUGUUCAUGAGUCCUUCUAGUCUCCUUCGGCUGGAACCAAUAACAUUUGAAGACUACGACGUUCGGUGGGUUUUCACCAUAGAAUUGAAGUUCAUAAAUUGCUUCAACUCUUCCAUAAUACUCGAUAACACCUUCGCCGAUAGCAGAGACACCACAAUUUGUAGAUUUCCGGUCGGGCAUAGAUAGCUCUUUGCCAAAGGUACGAAAGAGAUACCCGUUGAUGUUGUAUUUCUCAAAUGAACGGACCUUAUAGUCAAAACCAUUAGCGACUUGUCUCAAUUCGGCGUCCAUAGACUCUGAAUUAGCCUACAAGUUUAAUACGAAACGGUUGUUGCAUUAGCCGCAAGUUAGACCAAGAAUGAAAUGGUCCAUUAUUGAUAAUUACCGUUUGUUUGAACCAAGAGAUGAAACCGGGAUAGCCGCCUCCUGUCUUUGACAGAAGCUCAUACUCUUCGACGGAAUCAUUUUCGAUCACCGCUCCAUCCGAGAAUUUGACGACGUAACAGCUGUUUGAAAUAUCCGGGAAUAAGAGCAGUUCAAAUGAAUUAGAAGUUACGGGAAAAUGUGUCGAGAACUCACUCGAUGUACGGCCGCACUUCUGUUAGGUUGUUGAAGAUAUACAAAGAAAUGUUCCGCCAUUCUUCGAUAUCCAACGUUAUUGGUUUCGAAGCACCGGCUGGUGCGAGCUUCCCUUUGAAUAGGCUGAGGUUGGACCCACCUUUUUUAGGGUCUCCAUCAUUGUGCCGAGGCUUCGGAUUAUGCAAAUGAUGAUUUUUGGCUUCGUAGUGUGCUGUCACAAAGUUUGCCACCUCCUCAGUAAUGAAUGCCUCAGCCAUCGAUGCUUCAAUUCUACGCUUAUUUUUACAUUUAGCUCGAAGGGUCUUGUGCAUCCUCUCAGUUGCAUAGCACCAACGAUCUUGCACCGGCCCACCCAAUCUUGCCUCGGUCGGUAGAUGUAAAAUCAAAUGCUGCAUUAGAUUAAAGAAGCCCGGUGGAAAGAUCUUCUCUAACUUGCACAACAACUCCGGUGCAAACUCCUCCAUGUCUUCUACCACGCCAGGAGACAAUUCUUUCGCACAAAGAACACCGAAGAAAUAGCUCAGCUCCGCCAGUACUAGCCAUUCAUCCUCAGGAAUAAAGCCACGUAACAUCACCGGCAUUACCCGCUCUAGCCAUAUGUGCCAAUCAUGACUCUUGAGACCAAAGAUUUUUAAUUUUUCAAGACUCGCUCCCCUCUUUAGAUUCGCUGCAUACCCAUCGGGGAACAUCAAGUGCAUUUUGACCCACAAGAUAAUUUCCCUCAUAGCUGGCCUUCCAAGAUUGAACCAGGACUUUGGCUUCGACCACUUCUGCUUUCCUUUGCCUUCUCGCAUGUUUUGUAACGGUCUAUGACAUAGUGUCUCUUGAUCGACUCUAGCCUUAAUAUUAUCCUUUGUCUUCCCAUCUAUGUCAAACAAUGUACCAAAAAUAGCCUCUCCGAUAUUCUUUUCAGUGUGCAUCAUGUCGAUAUUGUGUGGAAGAAGGAGGUCUUUGAAGUACGGCAGAUCCCAGAAGCAUGGCUUGUGAGUCCAGGCGUGUUUUGAAUUAUACCCCUUGAAAUACCCUGGACGCUCUGGAUCAGGCUCGAGGGCGUUUAACUGAUCCAGGAUCUGUUGGCCUGUGAACGCAUGUGGUGCCAAGUUUUUGACAACUUUACCUUUGGUAAAGUUCUUCUUGUCUUUUCUGAAGUGAUGGUCAGGAUCGAGGAACUGUCUAUGCAAGUCAAAGCAAGAAUACUUCUGACCCUCCUUCAACCAAUGAAACUGAAGAGCUGCCUUGCAUUGGGGGCACGGGAACCUUCCAUGCACACACCAUCCAGAGAAUAGCGCAUACGCUGGCAAGUCAUGCAUAGAGUACAUGUACCACACAUGCAUUUUGAAGUUUUCUUUUCUAGCGGAAUCGUAUGUCUUGACCCCAUUUUCCCAAGCUUCUUCCAAUUCAUCCUUAAGCGGUUGCAGGUACACAUUCAUAUUCUUCCCCGGAUAAUUGGGCCCUGGAAUUAUCAACGUCAGAAAUAUGUUCUUUCUUUGCAUAAUCUGCCCGGGGGGGGGGGNNNNNNNNNNNNNNNNNNNNNNNNNNNNNNNNNNNNNNNNNNNNNNNNNNNNNNNNNNNNNNNNNNNNNNNNNNNNNNNNNNNNNNNNNNNNNNNNNNNNNNNNNNNNNNNNNNNNNNNNNNNUCUGCCCGGGGGGGGGGGGAGAUUCAGUGGAAUGACAAAUACAGGCCAACAACUGUAUUGGCUUGCCGUCAUGCCGAAGGGAUUAAAACCAUCCGUGGCGGCGCAGACUCGAGGAUUUCUUGGAUCUGCCGCUUUAUCCUGAUGCAAUCCAUCGAAAUGUUUCCACGCUUCCCCAUCCGAUGUGUGUACCAUCAUCUUAUUCCCAUCCGCAUCUAGUUCGGUUCUUUUGCCCAAUUUGUGCCAUGUCAUCUGUCUGGCUGUCUCUUCGACCAUGAAAAGACGUUGAAGUCUUGGUACGAUUGGCAUAUACCGAAGAACACUAACUGCAAUUUUGGUCUGCCUCUUCUCACCCAUACCGUUGUCUACCACAAGAUACCUGCAAGACUCGCAAUUGGGACAAUAGUCCAAGUGUGCAUACUCCUUCCUAAAUAAGACACAUCCUUUCUCACAUGCAUCUAUCUUCUCAUAGGGCAUCUUAAGUACACGAAGUAUUUUGUCCGACUGGUACAGGUUUGCAGGCAUGACAUGGCCUUUGGGUAGGAAACGUCCAAAUAGUGUCAUCAUCGCGUCGUAGCAUUCUCUUCCCAAGUUGAACUGAGCCUUCAGAGCCUUUACUUGUGCAAUUGCAUCCAGCUGACAGAGCUCGGUGUGCUCAUGGAGAGGACGUUUUGAAGACUCCAACAUUUCAUAAAAGGCCUUUGCAGAUUCCUCCAUCUCAUCUUCCGAAUCCCGAGCAUCAUCAAAGUCUUGCACCAUGUCUUCGAUCCCAGUACCAUGCUCGUCCGUGCGACGACGGACCACCUCAGCUCUUGUGCGUUGUAUAGACUCACCAUGAAAUGUCCACAAUGUAUAAUUAGGCUUAAAACCCCUCCUCUGCAGGUGUUUAAUCAUUACAGCCUCUGUCGUCUUUUUAUAGUUGUCGCAUCCAGGACAGGGGCAAUAGUUUCUUUCCUCGCCAUUUGCGAAUGCGGCUUUCACAAAUUCCUUUGUUUUUAAAAACCAUUCUUUCGUCAUCUCUUUCUGACUAGGGUGACCGGUAUACAUCCACGCACGAUCACUCAUCUUGCGUAGCUACUAAAGAGAGAAGAAAUAUAUUUAUAUAUAAUUCAUCAUCUAUAUUCAUCGGUUAAUCAGGUUCGCCAUUUUUAUUACGUCCAGGCAACCUACACGCUAAUAGGUAAAGAUAGGUCCUAAUCCCACCCGAGUAUGUGUAGACUGGGUUCGUUUUCCCAUGCUCUGCUCCGGAUCCAACGCAAAAUUUCGGCAGCACCUCCCCGCUGUUCUCCUGAUACACGUCUCCGCAAUAAACAGAGAGGAUGUGCAUCCGGAGAACAACAGGGAGGCACUGACGAAAUUCCGCAUCGGAUCCAGAGCACAGGAUACGGGAAAACGAACCCAGUCUACACAUACUCAGGCUGUCCAUGGAUAAUGUUGGACAAUUCGAAAGGAUGGCGGUUAUAAAUAUGCAAAGACAUGCAUAUUUAUAGAUGUCGCCCUUUCGAAUGGGAGACGCAUACUGGUCACGCAUACUCAUGAUUGAAGAAACCUAUAGCUAGCAACUUUCAUCGGCACGAAGACCGGGACAGAGCAAAUUAAGGGGGUAGGAGGAGAAGUCAUUUGUGCUCACCAACAAACGCAAGGGCGGAGCUCGUCCAAUGCACGUGGAGGUCGUCGAACAACUGCACAUUGAAAUUCACCCGAUCAACACAAAUAUGAUGUUUUUAUAAUUAACAUAACUAUAUGACCUAACUCAUAACUAUGUGGGUCAGUGUCAUCGGGGGUCGAAGGUCACUGGCGUCGGGGAUUGGGGUCUUUUCGGUCAACAAGAGGCCGAAGAGGUGUCGGGGCUCGGGGGUUGGGGGUCAGUGGCGUCGNCGUGGGAGAGAGAGAGAGUGCGUGGGAGAGAGAGAGAGAGCGCGUGGGAGAGAGAGAGAGUGCGUGGGAGAGAGGAGAGAGGUAGGCGCGCGGCGCCGUUAACUUUUCGGGGGUCCAUCUCCUUUGCCGUCUGCCACUGAUCCCCUUUGCCGUCUGCCACGGACGGCAAAGCUACUGAGGCAGACGGCAAAGGGGUGGGUGGGGCCGGGGUGGGAUGGGGAGAGAGGAGGGGUGGGUGGGACAGCUUUGCCGUCGGCCAUCCCUACCUUUGCCAUCUGUCNNNNNNNNNNNNNNNNNNNNNNNNNNNNNNNNNNNNNNNNNNNNNNNNNNNNNNNNNNNNNNNNNNNNNNNNNNNNNNNNNNNNNNNNNNNNNNNNNNNNCUCUCCCGCGUGCACACCUUCUUAUCCAUGCUUGAUCCCGCUCCAACGGAUAUCCUUAUUGUCCAUGCUAGGUCCUUCAUUCAUGAGCACAACAAAAGCAUCUAACUUAGGCAGCAUCAUAUGUUCAUGAACAUUUGAAGUAUUCCCAAGAAACGAAAGUACCUGGUAGUUCAAUUGGCGUGCACGAGCUCUAGUAACUGGUCCAGUAUGUAUAGCACCUGGGGCUGUGGGUGUAAGAAUGGUGUUGAUGUCCUUAUCAUCCUCCCCUUCUUGAACUGAAGUCGUCCUCGACGGAAGCUCAUCUUCCUCACCCAAAUAUGGCUUCAAAUCUACAAUGUUAAAAGUGGGACUAACCCCAAAAUUCGCACGCAACUCAAGUCUAUAUGCAUUAUCAUUUAUUUUCUCUAACACUUUGAAAGGACCAUCAGCACGCGGCAUUAGUUUUGACUUGCGCAAAUCAAGAAACCUAUCCUUAUGCAUAUGCAACCAAACAAGAUCUCUAGGUGCAAAGGCAACAUGUUUUCUACCCUUAUCUCCAGCAAGUUUAUAUCUAGCAUUCAUNNNNNNNNNNNNNNNNNNNNNNNNNNNNNNNNNNNNNNNNNNNNNNNNNNNNNNNNNNNNNNNNNNNNNNNNNNNNNNNNNNNNNNNNNNNNNNNNNNNNGGGAGGGGUGCAGCGAGGUGGAGGGGUGGUGGAGGAGGGCCGAAGUGGUGGAGGAGGCUCGGUAGGGAGGGGUGCAGCGAGGUGGGGAGGGCUGCAGGGGCGAUGUGGACGUGCACGGCGAGCUCUCUGGUGACCGACGGGGUGAUGGUGGCGCACGAGCUAGAGGCGAGGAGAGUGGAUGGUUUCAACGGGAAUGGAACGAGGAGUUCAUGGGGGUUCUUAUAGAGGCGACGGAAGGCGCUGGGAGGGAAGGUACUUCGUGAAUCCCGGAGGUGGAGAUCCUCUGUCCAUGGAAGGCAAGUUCCUGUGACGUGAAGAAGAGAAUAGAGGAAGAAGAUGAUCUCUGUUGGUUCAGAAUAGGAAAGUCUUGAUGGGCCACAUGGAGUUUCCUAAUAAAAACGAUUCCUUUCCUAUUUUUAUAACUAGGAAACUAAAACGAUAAAAAGGAAAUCAAAUCAAUUCGGAAUAAAGAGUUUCUAUAUACUAAAAUUAUGAGAAAAAUAAAAUAUAAAUGAUGGGCAUUUUUGCACGGCAAAAAUAAAAACUUCAGAAAAAAUUAUUUUCACAAAGUUGCCUAAAAGAUUUAUUUUCUUUUGCAAAUAAUUUUCAAAUGACCCUCUAAGUUUGAGGGUUCAAAUAACUUUCAAAAUGCCCGUGGGUUUGAGGGUCAUGUUCCUCCUCUCUAGAAUGUAUUUCCCGGCAUUUCUUGCACGAAGAAAACAAAUGGAAAUGCAAAAGAAUUCAAUGCAAAUAUCUCCGUUCAAAUUCUUUAUAGUUGAAGAAGUCAUGUCAUCUUCUCUCUUUGCUUUUAAAAGAUUGAAUUUGAAUUCACCGGAGAAGGGGAAAGUCAUUUUAUUCCCUCUCAUUCAAAAGUUUUUGAAAAGUUUCAAAUUUCACACAAGUUUGAAUCACUCAGGCAAGCAAACAAACAAUCAAUCUAAUAAUUAUAUUGGCAUUCCAAAAUUUAUAAUUUUGGGANNNNNNNNNNNNNNNNNNNNNNNNNNNNNNNNNNNNNNNNNNNNNNNNNNNNNNNNNNNNNNNNNNNNNNNNNNNNNNNNNNNNNNNNNNNNNNNNNNNNCCAUCCCUGGAUCAGUAUGCUAGCACACACAAUACAUCAAUGUAUAUAUCAAAGUGCAAUCACAUGUAAAAUAGCGUAAAACUGAUAUAUACCUUAAAUAUCUCAGCGGAAGCGGUCAAGGGAGUGGAGUCCCAAUAAACACCAACGGCAAGUUGAGUGUAGACCGUAACCCUGAAUCGUACUCUUACUCGUCGAAGAAAAAUAUCUGCAACAUAAGACGUUGCAGCCGUGUAGGUCAGCAUAUUGAAUAUGCCGGCAAGUCACAUAAGAGAGGGGUAAAAUGUCAUCUAUACUAUAUGCAUAUAUGGCAGGUGGGUUUAUAAGUUUUAGCGUAAAGCAAAUUUUUCUCCUACAAAAAGAGUGGGCUAAAAGCAAAAUGUUACUACAUUGUUUGGUUGUUAAUGAGAUGGUUCCGCCAACCAGUUCUCGUACCCGAGUUGUCAAUAAUUACCCUCAUCAAAUAUAUUUAAUGGUGUUGAGAAAUCCAGAUAACUUCAGUUCCUUUGGUUCAAGUUGUCCAUGACCGUGGACAUGGCUAAUCGAUUAGGUUUGAGUACUCUGGAGAGUUUUGCACACGUUCCCCACAAGAUUUGAUCGCCUCCGUGUAUGUCCUCGCACUUCAGGGUGUUUGAAGACCGGAUGAUCAAAACAUGGUCUUUCAACGGGUCCCUCUGAAUCCCUGUCGGUGCCCAUCCAUUCCUACUGUUCUUCUACAUCUGCUAGCACCGCCUGUCCAGAGUCGCCGCGUUGUCCAACCAAGCCAGAGCCCAUAAUGACUUGUGGCUGUGCAGGUAAGCCUUGGGUCUUGAAAAUAUCCGUCCGUCUCUUUGAGCCUGGGUGAAGCUUUCCGCAGGAUGUCAUGGCCGUCCCCAGCAUCCCGGGCAUCCACNNNNNNNNNNNNNNNNNNNNNNNNNNNNNNNNNNNNNNNNNNNNNNNNNNNNNNNNNNNNNNNNNNNNNNNNNNNNNNNNNNNNNNNNNNNNNNNNNNNNAGCAUCCCGGGCAUCCACUGGGUUCUCCAGGGAGCCGAUCAACCGUCCUUCACCCAGAGUUGCAUUGCGUCCGAGGUCUUGAAAAUCUUGUCUUAACCGGUCUUGAUUAUUUAAUCAACCUCGCAUCACUCGUGUUAUGUACUCAACCGAAAUCCAUCUACUCAAGCAUAGCAAUAUGAACUUUGUCGUCCCGGGGCCAAGUAUCGGGGUUGUUGUGUGCCUACCACAUGAUACUACAAUCUAUACUAAAAUUUCCAAGUACCUAAGCAGCAUGCAAUUGGGCAUAGGAUGGUAGAACUACGAUGCAUAAAACUUAGGUGAUAGUAUGAUCAAAGUGACUUGCCUGGUGAUGUUGACGAAGAAGAAUUUCUCGAGAAAAUAACUUGAUAGACUACUCGUCACUCUCCGAUGAAAUCUAUAUAACAAACAUAUCAUUCACAUAAGCACUCAUACUAGCAAUCAUUCUAGCAAUCAAAACAAAAGAGAGAGCGAAUAGGAAUCCGAAGGAAACUUCAAAUAAGACUAGAGAGUCCUCUACUACAUCAAACACUAAAUGAUUUUUGUCCAACAGAAAAUAAUAACAAGGAACUNNNNNNNNNNNNNNNNNNNNNNNNNNNNNNNNNNNNNNNNNNNNNNNNNNNNNNNNNNNNNNNNNNNNNNNNNNNNNNNNNNNNNNNNNNNNNNNNNNNNUGCUUAUUCCAGGAGUUUGAAAAUAGAUUUUAAUUUGAUUCCUUUUGGUACUGAUCACUAGUAAUCUUAGUUAUCAGUGGUAAAAAUUUCAGAUUUGUUUGAGUAUUUUAGUUCACUGUUUCUUGUGAAACAAUUNNNNNNNNNNNNNNNNNNNNNNNUCAAAUUUGCAAAUUUGAAUUAGAUCAGAUUUAGUUUAAACCUUGUUUUGCUUAUUCCAGGAGUUUAAAAAUAGCUUUUAAUUUUUGAGUAUUUUAAUUCACAGUUUCUUGUGAAACAAUUUCUGUUUCACCUCUUUUAGGAUUUCGGCUAAUUCCUUUUCUAUAAUCGUUUUUAAAAUAUUUCUUUAUUAUUUCAUAAAUAUUAUGUUUUGUUUCUGUUAGUUAAACAGUAGUUUUGCAACAAGUUUUUACUUUAUUUUUAUUUGUUUUCAUGAAAUCAAUUCUAGUUCCUUAGUAACUUGCAAUUGGUUUCUGCACUGUUUCAAAUCCCGUUUGGGAAUACUUUCAAAAAGUUUUGUGAAAAAUACUUUAUUUUAUCUUAGUUAGAUUUAUAUCUUAGUUCCUUGUUAUUAUUUNNNNNNNNNNNNNNNNNNNNNNNNNNNNNNNNNNNNNNNNNNNNNNNNNNNNNNNNNNNNNNNNNNNNNNNNNNNNNNNNNNNNNNNNNNNNNNNNNNNNAUGUCAAGACAACUGACAAUUACAUGAGUAGCAGAACCUCAUUGAGGCUCAUGUAGAUGUCAAGACAACUGACAAUUACAUGAGUAGCAGAACCUCAUUGAGGCUCAUGUAGAUGUCAAGACAACUUACAAUUACAUGAGUAACAACUCGCUCCGAGUACGACCUUACAGUCGCACUUGAAGACUUAGCCGCGAUCACGAAUCGCCUAAGUACACAAUUGCCUUCGAGUGUAUCCUACAGAUCCACUCGGAGACUCAGCAGACCCUCAGUGAGGAUCAUGCAGAUGUCAAGACAACUGACAAUUGCAUGCUCCGCAUGUUUGCCAUUGGCUUCACCAGGAAACGCCAAACAAAAACCACAAGCCAAAAUCGCGUCAACAAUUCUUUGGCAAAGGAAGAGCAAAAGAUUCUAUUCAAAUUCAAAGUUCGUCUAAAGAUAGUUGGUUCGGUGUAGAUCAAGCUUAUCCACACCGAACCACGAAUGUGACGGCCAACAGCAGUGGCCAAAGUUUGAUACAACUACCACUCGGCAUUCCGAGGUAAAGUUUUUUCACGCGUCGUCACGACUGGCACUGGGACUGGCAGGCUCCACGAAAGUGUCGAGGUCGAUCCCGUCUGCGAUGCGAGUGGCGCUCUCAAGGAAGGUCUCCAUGAAUUCUUCGAAUCGAAGCUUCUUCGUGUUGGCGACCUGCAGCACUUUCAGCUUCUCUUCGCGAGCCUCCUUGCAGUGCACUCGGACCAGCGACAGCGCCACGUCCGCACCACAGCGAGCAGCAGACUUCUUCCACGCCUGCACUCGGUUCGGGACAUCCUCCAGCCGAGUCAUCAACCCUUCCAUCUCUUGCCGGGACUCGUCUUCGGGCCACAACUCCUUGUCGAUUCGGCCGACGACCUCUCUCAGUCGACCGAUGAAAGGUCCCACUUUACCCAGGCGAAUGUGCGCUCGGAGCAUGUCUCGAUUGGCGUCGUCGCCGAGUGGAACGUUCGGAAGAACCGACCGCUCAACGUCAGCUACUUCAGCCUCAGCGUCCAUACAAAAAUCUGCAAAGACAAGACGAGCAGAAAGUAAGCGCAUAAUGAAAUACACAGUCAACAAGCACUCGGAAAAACAGAACUUACCACCAGAAGCGCAAUCAUCUUCCUUGCCCAGUCACCGACGUACUUCUCCUGUGAUAUGCACCGCCUGUUCAUCACCUUCAUCUGUCCCAUCAGCUCGGUUCUUCGUUUCCCCAUUUUCUCCAUUUCGGCCACCAAUGCCUUGUUUGCCUCACGGGACUCCUCCAAGGACUUCUCUCGUUCAGCCAGAGCGCCCUUCACACCAGCCAAGUCAUGCACUGCUGCCUCUAGUUCCGCGGCAAGCUGAAUCUUUUCAGCGUUCAGAGUGUUGUACGCUGAUCCCAUCUCGCAAGUCUUCUGUAAAUCAGCGCGAAGAGAAGAUCAGACAAAUUCAACAAGGAAAACAAUAAAAACUCCAAGUUCUUCAGACCCCUGCCGACGCAAGCAGUCGACAACGGUCUCGGGGACUACACCCAGUGGGUUCACUAAGAGUGACCCCACUGGCAUGAAGCUCAAAUAGGGGACUACUACCCUAUUGAGAUACAUAACAAAAACAAGCCUAUGAGGCUACUACUACCCGACCCGAGUAAAAUUACUCUUGGGGACUAAUACAGUAGGUGCACUCGGAGUGCCCCCACCGGUAACAUUCGAACAUAUUAGUUUUGAUCUGGUCAACUUAAAGAAAAUGUAUAUAAAGACAACUGCCGGUGCAAGCACUCGACAGAAGUCUCGGGGACUACACCCACUGGGUUCACUAAGAGUGAACCCACUGCACAAUAAUUAUCCUGUAUCCGAGUAUAUUGCUUAAACACCCAGUGGGUUACAAGGGGAAAGCAAAUACUUACUAGCCCACUUACUCGGAUACCGUCCCGGAGUUCCAAGCUUCGCUUGUACACAAACGCGAUGGAGUCGUACGCUCUCUUGGCAUCACCCGCAAUCAACUCCGCCUGCACCAUGGCCCCCUUGGCAAGUCCCACCUGAUCUUUCGGGAGGCGCUGGGCAUCGUACUGGACGGUCGACGGACCUGGCGCCACAAGAGACUCCUUGGGCAUCCCAAGUCCUGCUCCAGUCGGUUCAGCAGCGAUGAGUGUCGUUUCAGUCGACGGCGCGUCCAUGGCGGGAGUAGUAACAGGUGGAACAGCCUCAAGGACAGGCACUGCAGCUUGCUCGGACCUCUUCUGGUCGUCCUCCUCCACAUGAAUCACCUCUGAGGGAAACCAGACCGAACAACAUGAGACCACAGGAAAAAGGGCAAGACCAAAGAAAGAAUUCGUGAAACAAUAAUGUAAGCCCUCGGAGUCGUCACGACGUACCUUGCUGGGAUGUGGCAACGUUGUCCGUAUCCAUGGGAUCGUCUUCCUGGCGUGGCAGAGAAGUGGCGGAGGUGGCAGCUCUGUCGAGUAAAAUUCACUCGACCAAUAAGCAUNNNNNNAGAAGAUAGGAGAACAACACACUUACGCUGAGGCGACGGGAACGGCGAUCCUCAUCCGCGGCAAAGCCUUCCGAGGCUUGGAUCCACUCGGUUUGGCCACCUUAGAGGGCUGGCCCGCGGGCUCAGCAGCAGAGUCCCUGGUCCUCUUUGUGCUCUGAGCACUCGGAACCACGGGAGAAGCUGGCAAGGCACUCGGAACUACAGAAGGAGCUGGCGGGGCACUCGAGGCCGCUGGAGGAGCCGACGGAGCCACGGGUUCGUGACGGCGUUUAGUUCGAGGCUCUGGUGGUGGGGGUGGCGAGUUCUGUUCCUCAUCUUCCCCCUCUUCUUCUUCGGACUCCUCCUACGUCUCCCCACUGUCGGAGACGUACUCGACGCUCUCCACGCUGCCCUCCUAGCUGCCUUCCUCUUCCUCAGCCGAAUUCCCGUUCGAGACAGGAGAAAACCAGUUGGUCCAUGCCUGCACGAGAUAUAGUCGACAACAUCAGACGUCAGACAGUGAUACAAGAAAAAGCGAUAAAUNAGGGCUUGACUUGCCGGGCUCCUCUGGGGUUAUCGCAGGCGCCUGUGAUGUUGCGGACCCACGACGUCACAAGCUCCCCGGUCACGCACUCGGGUUAGUCCGAGUGGAGUCCUCAGGCCCCGUGUAGUGCCACAUGGCGUGGUGUCGAGCUUGAAAAGGUUGGAUACGCCGACCCAGAAAAAUCUCCAGCAAAUCUAUGCCAGUGACUCCCUUUCGGACGACCUCUACCAGCGCAUCGACCAGAGGCUGGAUCUGGAUCUUCUCCAUCUUCGUGAGCGCAAGCUGCCUAGGCGGAGCCGGUCGGUCUAGGCUAAAAGGUGGCAGUCCAUUUGCGUCAUUCGGGCAAGCAACGUCCUGGCAGUAGAACCAAGUCGACUGCCAGUUCCUAACGAAUUCAGACAACUAAAGAGCGGGAUAGCUACUUUUACUUUUCUUUUGGAAGCCUAAGCCUCCACAGAGCUGGAGGAGGUGAGUUUUGUCAUCCGACUGGCUUAGUUUUUUGAUGGUUUGAGAUCUAGCAGAGAAGAUGUGCUUAAAGAGCCCCCAAUGGGGAGGACAGCCGAUAAAACACUCGCACAGCACGACGAAGGCAUAGAGAUGAGCUAUUGCGUUGGGAGGAAAAUAGUGGAGCUGCGCCCCGAAGUGGUUCAUUAUACCUCUGAAGACGGGAUGAGGAGGCAGAGAGAAGCCUCGGUACACAUGACUGAGCAGCAAGACGCGCUCCCCCUCCUGGGGCGCCGACUCCGUCUCGCCCUCCGCCGACAGCCUCCACGUCUUGUGCUCGAUUAUGCCUUGCUCCACCAGCUCCAGCAUGUCCUCCGCCGUCACCGUGGAGGGUAGGAAAUCCCCCUGGAUCCAACCCGACGACAGUGCUUGCUGCCGCCGCUGAGAAGGAGCCGCCGCCUUCUUCUUCUUCCGCGCCUCGAGCUUGCUCAUCUGCCCCUUCGUCAUGGUGGAGGUUGCAGAUCCGCGGGGGAGGAGGGGAAGGAAGGAGCUUGGGAUGCGCAGGAGGUCAUGAGAGAAGCGCGGCAAGUGCGAGUUAUCAGGCGAGUGCAAUGAAAAACCCUCGCCGUAGAGGUUUAAAUAAGGUUCCGACUCGGUCACUAGCAGGUGGCCCCGAAAUCUUAUCCCCCGACCGGUUGCUGCGAUAUUAGUGGAGGAGAUGAAGGUGCGGGAAUCGAGGCGGAAGAUACUACUCGAGUACGAUGUCGUCAUCCCCGCUGAGCGCGCGGCAACCGAAAUUUGAGGAUCCCAGAAAAUCCGCCGCUGCCAGUUGACUGGUCACGUCAAAAGAUUCCACGGAAGCACUCGGUCCCUGACGGUUCAUUUCACAGAUACAUCCACUCGGAUCACUGGUCAAGAGGAUAAAAUGGAUCGAGGCAAACAACGCCAAAGUCGCAUCCAUACGAGUCGGAUCCGUACUCCAAGCAUCGCUUCGUCGUUCCAACCCCAAUCCAUUCGGGGACUAAUGAUGGGGUUAUAGUCCUAGGGUAGGGCCAUAGGCCUGCCCUAUGGGUCCUACCCAAGGACUACCCUUCAUAGGGGAUAAGGCCCUUAGUCAGUUCCGACUGAAUUAAGGACUUCCCGUCAUCCAGUCGGUGACGAUUCCUCCAUCAUCGAGUCGGAGAUGAGCAUUCGAAGCGUAUCAAACUUACCGACUGGAUUCCACUCUAUACGUCGUAACCCCCCUGGAGGGCAACGGUCAUACGUUUCCAUGUACCUUUAUUAGCAUUUAAGACAUACGUUACCUGUAACGUAGGCAUUUAUUCGCCACUACUCCACCCCUGUGCACCGAACUGUUGUAAAGGGCAGCGCACUCUAUAUAAGCCACCCUUCCCCAUUGGUGCAUGGGUUAGCAAUUCACUGUAAUCCAUA
rnacentral:lncRNA from 1 species